CCUGCGUCAUAUUUGGGGGCGGGGCCCUCUUAUAACGGGAGUACGGGACACCUCUUCGGAGCCGGACACAGGCAGAUACAGCUGUACUGUCUGGGCGUGGACUUCUAGCGCUGUGGUGACAUCUGCUGGUAGAUGAUGUCUUAGAUUUAUGGAUGUAAAAUGAACUGGAUAAGUGGAAGCAAGAUGGCUCCAUCUGAGAAGCUAAUCUCAUGAGGUAUGGUACAUUAUUAGCUGUCUGCACACAGAACUCUGCAGUGUUAUCAGACACAAACAACUAACAUAUCACACAGUCUCUGCCAAUUUUAUUGCUUCAGUCAAAUCACAACAAGCUGUAUUACAAUCGUUCAGUUUUUCAGUUCUUCUGUUAGUGCUUGGAUCAGUAUCCUCUCCUCACGGAAAGAAGGAUGGAUGAAUGCCAGGGAGGAAGUUAGAGAAGGAGAGGAAGAGAGAGAAAUAGACCACCAUUGAUGGUCCCUUUUUCUAUGAUGACAUAAUGACUUGCAGUAUGAUAUCUCGUUAGUUUAUCUAUCUAGUCAAAGUGCUACAACAACAUCUGGGUCAGAGGUAAUACAUACUAACAGUCUGAAACCUUACAGGGAGAUGAACUUGGUUUAACCUAGAACCAUCCC